CCCUUGAUUUUAGUUGCCAGCAUUCAGUUGGGCACUCUAAGGUGACUGCCGGUGACAAACCGGAGGAAGGUGGGGAUGACGUCAAAUCAUCAUGCCCCUUAUGACCUGGGCUACACACGUGCUACAAUGGAUGGUACAAAGGGCUGCAAACCUGCGAAGGUAAGCGAAUCCCAUAAAGCCAUUCUCAGUUCGGAUUGCAGGCUGCAACUCGCCUGCAUGAAGCCGGAAUCGCUAGUAAUCGCGGAUCAGCAUGCCGCGGUGAAUACGUUCCCGGGCCUUGUACACACCGCCCGUCACACCACGAGAGUUUGUAACACCCGAAGUCGGUG
rnacentral:rRNA from 2 species